GGAUUAGCUAGUUGGUGGGGUAAAGGCCUACCAAGGCGACGAUCUGUAGCGGGUCUGAGAGGAUGAUCCGCCACACUGGGACUGAGACACGGCCCAGACUCCUACGGGAGGCAGCAGUGGGGAAUAUUGGACAAUGGGCGAAAGCCUGAUCCAGCCAUGCCGCGUGUGUGAAGAAGGCCUUUUGGUUGUAAAGCACUUUAAGCGAGGAGGAGGCUACUAGUACUAAUACUACUGGAUAGUGGACGUUACUCGCAGAAUAAGCACCGGCUAACUCUGUGCCAGCAGCCGCGGUAAUACAGAGGGUGCGAGCGUUAAUCGGAUUUACUGGGCGUAAAGCGUGCGUAGGCGGCUUUUUAAGUCGGAUGUGAAAUCCCCGAGCUUAACUUGGGAAUUGCAUUCGAUACUGGGAAGCUAGAGUAUGGGAGAGGAUGGUAGAAUUCCAGGUGUAGCGGUGAAAUGCGUAGAGAUCUGGAGGAAUACCGAUGGCGAAGGCAGCCAUCUGGCCUAAUACUGACGCUGAGGUACGAAAGCAUGGGGAGCAAACAGGAUUAGAUACCCUGGUAGUCCAUGCCGUAAACGAUGUCUACUAGCCGUUGGGGCCUUUGAGGCUUUAGUGGCGCAGCUAACGCGAUAAGUAGACCGCCUGGGGAGUACGGUCGCAAGACUAAAACUCAA
rnacentral:rRNA from 1 species